rnacentral:tRNA from 1 species
GCCGAAGUGGUGGAAUGGCAGACACGUCCGACUCAAAAUCGGAUGAGGUAACCCCUCGUGUGGGUUCGAAUCCCACCUUCGGUACCA